UAUUUACUGAAAGUGUUUUUUUACAUUUACAGGCCAUCCACAAACAUAAAAGAGGGCCUGGCGCUAUCAUUGGUUCAGACAUUCCCUGAAUGAUGGAUCCGACAUGGGCUAUAUUUCCAGAGACUCCAGAAUGAAAACCAAGCUCUGAGGGAGGAGAACCACACCCUGAGGGAAAGCAAUGCACAAGCAGCUACGGAUGACAGCGGCUCCCUUCAAGAGCAGGUGAAGCAAGUUGGGACAAUGUUGAAGACGUUUGCUAGCACUUGGCAAUCAGGUGCAGAUCAGACCCUAAUGCUCGACAACAAAAUGGAAACUAUGCAGCAACAUUUCAGUGCCAAUGUGUCUGUUGGAGAGCCACUGAUGAGGCGGUCCAGGUUAACGUUAUGCGUUACCUGAAAGGAGCAUCUGACCGUGAAGGCGGAAAAAGGCGCCGCACAGCUGAGAGGGACCCACAGCCGACCCUUAAAAACCUAGGCUGACUACUGACACCCCCGCAUCACUGACAACUGGAACACUUUCUUUAUCCUGCAGUCAGUAACCUCAAGAAGCCAGAAGUGCCAGACUACACUCACCCAA